CACGUAGGGGGCAAGCGUUGUCCGGAUUUAUUGGGCGUAAAGAGCUCGUAGGUGGCUGAGUAAGUCGGAUGUUAAAUCCCCAGGCUCAACCUGGGACACCACCCGAUACUGCUCUGGCUAGAGUCCGGUAGGGGAGCGUGGAAUUCCUGGUGUAGCGGUGAAAUGCGCAGAUAUCAGGAGGAACACCUGAGGUGAAGACGGGUUGCUGGGCUGACACUGACGCUGAGGCACGAAAGCUAGGGUAGCAAACGGG
rnacentral:rRNA from 1 species